GAUGAACGCUGGCGGCGUGCCUAAUACAUGCAAGUCGAGCGAACAGACGAGGAACUUGCUCCUCUGACGUUAGCGGCGGACGGGUGAGUAACACGUGGAUAACCUACCUAUAAGACUGGGAUAACUUCGGGAAACCGGAGCUAAUACCGGAUAAUAUAUUGAACCGCAUGGUUCAAUAGUGAAAGACGGUUUUGCUGUCACUUAUAGAUGGAUCCGCGCCGCAUUAGCUAGUUGGUAAGGUAACAGCUUACCAAGGCAACGAUGCGUAGCCGACCUGAGAGGGUGAUCGGCCACACGGGAACUGAGAAACGGUCCAGACUCCUACGGGAGGCAGCAGUAGGGAAUCUUCCGAAAUGGGCGAAAGCCUGACGGAGCAACGCCGCGUGAGUGAUGAAGGUCUUCGGAUCGUAAAACUCUGUUAUUAGGGAAGAACAAAUGUGUAAGUAACUAUGCACGUCUUGACGGUACCUAAUCAGAAAGCCACGGCUAACUACGUG
rnacentral:rRNA from 1 species